GAUUCGCAAUGGCCCAUUCCCAUAUCAAUUUCAACUGCAGAGUACUUGCCAUCAAGCAGCCUCAUCAUGGUGACACACUAAGUCCCAUGAUAUCAUCAGUAGCUGUUGUAGAUAGUUCAACCAACUUGGACUUUUCACAAAUUGACAUUUCUAAUUUACAAGUACCUCAUACCCCUUCACCAAAAAUUCGAUACAGAAUCUGUCCAAACCCAUCUGCAAUUAUUUGGAGAACAAGGAGAAGCUGAUCAAGGACACAAUAUCUCAGUUCACAAUUUUUAUUUCCUUCUUCUUCUUCUUGUUGUCAAUAUGCUAUAAUAAUUUAUGUUCACCUACGACACAUACACUGUAUACAAAAAAAAGAGUACUAAUUACUAA